rnacentral:rRNA from 1 species
UGAGGAAUAUUGGUCAAUGGGCGAGAGCCUGAACCAGCCAAGUAGCGUGUAGGAUGACGGCCCUAUGGGUUGUAAACUGCUUUUAUAUGGGAAUAAAGUGAGGGACGUGUCCCUUAUUGCAUGUACCAUACGAAUAAGGACCGGCUAAUUCCGUGCCAGCAGCCGCGGUAAUACGGAAGGUCCAGGCGUUAUCCGGAUUUAUUGGGUUUAAAGGGAGCGUAGGCUGUUUGUUAAGCGUGUUGUGAAAUGUAAGAGCUCAACUUUUAGAUUGCAGCGCGAACUGGCAGACUUGAGUGCGCACAACGUAGGCGGAAUUCAUGGUGUAGCGGUGAAAUGCUUAGAUAUCAUGACGAACUCCGAUUGCGAAGGCAGCUUACGGGAGCGCAACUGACGCUAAAGCUCGAAGGUGCGGGUAUCGAACAGG